UCCCUCUUAGGAUUGCUCCUGGAGUGUUUUCAGUAGUCUACCAGUCUCUGCUAUGGGAGGGAAGGUCAAGCAGACGCCUACCCAUUCCAUUCCAAGCUUGGGAGGUAGCUAGCGAGUGGAAGGCAAUCUGCUACAAUU